CCUACGGGUGGCAGCAGUGGGGAAUAUUGCGCAAUGGGCGAAAGCCUGACGCAGCGACGCCGCGUGAGGGAUGAAGGUCUUCGGAUCGUAAACCUCUGUCAGCAGGGAAGAACGGUCACUGUGCUAAUCAGCAGUGAAUUGACGGUACCUGACUAAGAAGCCCCGGCUAACUACGUGCCAGCAGCCGCGGUAAUACGUAGGGGGCGAGCGUUAUCCGGAUUCACUGGGUGUAAAGGGAGCGUAGACGGCCAAGCAAGCCAGGGGUGAAAGCCCGGGGCCCAACCCCGGGACUGCCCUUGGAACUGGCUGGCUGGAGUGCGGGAGGAGCACGCGGAAUUCCUGGGGUAGCGGUGAAAUGCGUAGAUAUCAGGAAGAACCCCGGCGGCGAAGGCGGCCUGCUGGACCGAGACUGACGUUGAGGCUCGAAAGCGUGGGGAGCGAACAGGAUUAGAUACCCCAGUAGUC
rnacentral:rRNA from 1 species